UACGGAGGGUGCGAGCGUUGUCCGGAGUCACUGGGCGUAAAGGGCGCGUAGGCGGCUUCUCAAGCGUGUGGUGAAAGUCCGGGGCUCAACCCCGGAUCGGCCGUGCGGACUGGGGAGCUCGAGUUCUGUAGAGGCGGGUGGAAUUCCGGGUGUAGCGGUGGAAUGCGUAGAGAUCCGGAAGAACACCGGUGGCGAAGGCGACCCGCUGGGCAGAGACUGACGCUGAGGCGCGACAGCGUGGGGAGCAAACAGG
rnacentral:rRNA from 1 species